rnacentral:rRNA from 1 species
GACGAACGCUGGCGGUGUGCUUAACACAUGCAAGUCGAACGGAAAGGCACUGAGUUCGUGCGGUGACCGAGUGGCGAACGGGUGAGUGACACGUGUGUAACCGGCCCUACACUUUGGGGUAACUUAAGGAAACUGAGGCUAAUCCCGGACAGGAGAUCCUGCAGCAUGGUGGGGGUUGGAACGUUUCAGCGGUCGGGGCUGGACGCGCGGGUUAUCGGCUUGUUGGUUGGGUAGGGGCUUACCAAGUCUUUGACUGGUCGCCGGCCUGAGAGGGUGAACGGCCACAAUGCUACUAAGAUAGGGCCCAGUCUGCAACGGUAGACAGCAGUGGGGAAUAUGGCACAAUGGGCGGAAGCCUGAUGCAGCAACGUCGCGGUCGUGAUGACGUCCUUCGGGUUGUAAACCGCUUUCGCUUGAUACGAAGCUGUAGUGACGGUAAUGGGUGAAGAAGCACCGGCUAACUACGUG